UACGUAGGCAGCGAGCGUUGUUCGGAAUUACUGGGCGUAAAGAGUGUGUAGGCGGUGCUCUAAGUUCGGUGUGAAAUCUCCUGGCUCAACUGGGAGGGUGCGCCGGAAACUGGAGUGCUUGAGCGUGGGAGAGGAAAACGGAAUUCCUGGUGUAGCGGUGAAAUGCGUAGAUAUCAGGAGGAACACCUGUGGUGUAGACGGCUUUCUGGACCAUAGCUGACGCUGAGACACGAAAGCGUGGGUAGCAAACAGG
rnacentral:rRNA from 1 species